CACAAAUACUUAGGAGUAUUAGUGGUAAACAUCAUAACUCGAGCCGUUUCCAAGAGCUAACGAUUCUUCCGUUCGGCUAUGCCAUUCCUCCUUAGGUGUAUCUACAUAGGAACUGUUGUGUUUGAUCCUUUGGGUUGUAAGGAGUGAGCCAAGGUGAGUGUUUAAUCCUUGGCAUUAUCUGUCUUGAGGACUUUGAUCU
rnacentral:lncRNA from 1 species